rnacentral:rRNA from 1 species
GACGAACGCUGGCGGCGUGCUUAACACAUGCAAGUCGAACGGAAAGGCCCAGCUUCUGUGGGGUGCUCGAGCGGCGAACGGGUGAGUAACACGUGAGUAAGCUGCCGCUUACUUGGGGGUAACUUCAGCAAACUGGGGUUAAUACCGGAGAGGAGCGCCUGAUGCAUGGAGGGGGGGGGAAAGUGUCGGCGGUUGGGGAUGGAUGCGCGGCUUAUCAGCUUGUUGGGGGGGGAGUGGCUUACCAAGGCUUUGACGGGUAGCCGGCCUGAGAGCGUGACCGGCCACAAUGCGACUGCGAUACGGCCCAGAGUCCUAUGUUGGGCAGCAGUGGCAAAUCUUACACAAUGGGCCGACGUCUGAUGCGGCAACGCUGCGUUCGUAAUGUCCUCCUUGCGGUUAUGAACCGCUUUCGCCUGUGACCUAGCCUGAUUGACGGUACCGGGUGAAGAAGCACCGGCUAACUACGUG